CAGGACAGGAAAUACGCCUUUUUUCCGAAGCACCGAGGUUUGGCUACAGAGAGAAUUAUAAGCCCACAAGAAAUACAUAGGUAUGGCAUGAUACACACUGCAACAGUCUUAGGUAGCCUCGUGACUGGAGCAGUGUUGUGUUGCAUAGUUAUUUGCCUACUGAGGAGGAGGAAAAGGAAACUCCGUGCAGCCCAGAGAUCGAAUCCAGAUGCCAGCAACUUCUCACGCCUGGACAACUGGCCCAAUAACCCUGGCACCCCGGAGAACUGGAACCAACCCCAGCGGUCGCUCCUCA